UAAAACGUUGGAUUUACUGAAACAGCCAAUCAUGAUAAGGAAAACUUUUUCCAUUACAGUGAGUUCUCUGGUGAUGUUGAUAGCUUGGAACUGGGGGUCAUGGUCGAGUAUAGCUUGUCCAAAGGCAAAGGCAAUAAAGUCAGUGCAGAAAAAGUAAACAAAACACACUCAGUGAAUGGCAUUACUGAGGAAGCUGAUCCCACCACUUACUCUGGCAAAGUCAUUCGCCCCUGAGGAGUGUUGAUUCAACACAGACUGAGUACCGAGGAAUGAUUGAGAUUGUGGAGGAGGGCGAUAAGAAAGGUGAUGUCUAUCCAUUUGAUGUCGUUGGGAUGGCCAACAAUAGCGAUUGCCUGCAGAAAGGGGAAAGCAUCAAGUUCCAAUUGUGUGUCCUGGGCCAAAAUGCACAAACUAUGGCUUACAACAUCACACCCCUGCAUAGGGCUACAGUGGAAUGUGUGAAAGAUCAGUUUGGCUUCAUUAACUAUGAAGUAGGAGAUAGCCAGAAGCUCUUUUUCUGUGUGAAAGAAGUUCAGGGUGGCAUUGAGCUACAGGCAGGAGAUGAGGUGGAGUUCUCAGUGAUUCUUCAUCAGCGCACUGGCAAGUGCAGCGCCUGUAAUGUUUGGCGAGUCUAUGAGGGCCCCAAGGCUGUUGCAGCUCCUCGACCUGAUUGGUUGGUCAAUUGUUUGAAGAACAUCACUCUGGAUGAUGCCAGUGCUCCUCACCUAAUGGUUCUUCAUCAGCCAAGGGGACCAGAUAACUCAAUGGGGUUUGGUGCAGAAAGAAAGAUCCGUCAAGCUGAUGUCAUUGACUAACCACAUCCACAAAACAUAUCUUUAAUCCACUAUGAUCAAGUUGGGGAGAAUCUGGUGAAGGAUUCUGAAUAUCUCCCUCUUCAUCCCUCCUGAAUCCGGAAUACUUAUUCUAUUGAGCUAUUACACCAGUUUUAACACCUUCCUCGUGUUAUGUUUAAAAAAAAAAUAAAUUUAAGAAAACCAUUUUAAAAUAAUGCACAGUUCAGCCUGGAAAACUUAAGGCGGCGCCUUAUAGUGUCAAUUUUAGGAGCUUUAUUUGGAGCAUUUAACGCAACUGGUCAUUGCAAAAUCCACUUCGCCUGUGUAAGUGAAAAAUAUAGACUGUUACCUUGUUGGCCCUAUGAAAUUCUGCACUUUUCAUUAUAUACUCUACCUUCAUUAAUUACUUCUGGCAAGACAUUCUGCCUUAGCACUCAGUUGCAUUCUUUUUCUUUUUCUUCCUGUUCAUUAUGCUUUAAUUCUGAGGACCAUAUGAGGGUAGAAUAUAAUAUCUUUUAAAAAUUACACAAAUUUGUAUAGGCAAACCAUUUCUUAAAGUUGAUGGCCAAAUCUUAAAAUGUUAUUUUUUUAUAUCAUUUAUAAUUUUGUCACAAUCCACUUAAAGAAGUUUGUUUAUAUUUCAGUGAAAAUUAUCUUCCAGAGUAGGUUUUAUUCUUGAGUUGGGGGGUAACUUUACUACAAUUAGUAAGUAUGGUACAGAAUUUCAUGCAAAUGAGGAGUGCCAACAGUCUGAUAAUUUAAACAUAUUUAAACAAAAACAAAAAAAAUGAAUGCACAAACUUGCUGCUGUUUGG